ACGAACGCUGGCGGCAGGCCUCACACAUGCAAGUCGAGCGGACCCUUCGGGGUUAGCGGCGGACGGGUGAGUAACGCGUGGGAAUAUGCCCUUCUCUACGGAAUAGUCCUGGGAAACUGGGGGUAAUACCGUAUACGCCCUUUGGGGGAAAGAUUUAUCGGGGAAGGAUUAGCCCGCGUUGGAUUAGGUAGUUGGUGGGGUAAUGGCCUACCAAGCCGACGAUCCAUAGCUGGUUUGAGAGGAUGAUCAGCCACACUGGGACUGAGACACGGCCCAGACUCCUACGGGAGGCAGCAGUGGGGAAUCUUAGACAAUGGGGGCAACCCUGAUCUAGCCAUGCCGCGUGAGUGAUGAAGGCCUUAGGGUUGUAAAGCUCUUUCAGCUGGGAAGAUAAUGACGGUACCAGCAGAAGAAGCCCCGGCUAACUCCGUG
rnacentral:rRNA from 1 species